AGAUGGCUUCUCGCUAUCACUUCUGGAUGGACCUGCGGUGCAUUAGCUUGUUGGUGGGGUAACGGCCUACCAAGGCGAUGAUGCAUAGCCGAGUUGAGAGACUGAUCGGCCACAAUGGGACUGAGACACGGCCCAUACUCCUACGGGAGGCAGCAGUAGGGAAUCUUCCACAAUGGGCGCAAGCCUGAUGGAGCAACACCGCGUGAGUGAAGAAGGGUUUCGGCUCGUAAAGCUCUGUUGUUAAAGAAGAACACGUAUGAGAGUAACUGUUCAUACGUUGACGGUAUUUAACCAGAAAGUCACGGCUAACUACGUGCCAGCAGCCGCGGUAAUACGUAGGUGGCAAGCGUUAUCCGGAUUUAUUGGGCGUAAAGAGAGUGCAGGCGGUUUUCUAAGUCUGAUGUGAAAGCCUUCGGCUUAACCGGAGAAGUGCAUCGGAAACUGGAUAACUUGAGUGCAGAAGAGGGUAGUGGAACUCCAUGUGUAGCGGUGGAAUGCGUAGAUAUAUGGAAGAACACCAGUGGCGAAGGCGGCUACCUGGUCUGCAACUGACGCUGAGACUCGAAAGCAUGGGUAGCGAACAGGAUUAGAUACCCUGGUAGUCCAUGCCGUAAACGAUGAGUGCUAGGUGUUGGAGGGUUUCCGCCCUUCAGUGCCGGAGCUAACGCAUUAAGCACUCCGCCUGGGGAGUACGACCGCAAGGUUGAAACUCAAAGGAAUUGACGGGGGCCCGCACAAGCGGUGGAGCAUGUGGUUUAAUUCGAAGCUACGCGAAGAACCUUACCAGGUCUUGACAUCUUGCGCCAACCCUAGAGAUAGGGCGUUUCCUUCGGGAACGCAAUGACAGGUGGUGCAUGGUCGUCGUCAGCUCGUGUCGUGAGA
rnacentral:rRNA from 1 species